GAAACUGAUAAUGUUUAAAUAUUUGUUUUUAAUUUUGGAUUUUCCCAGCGCCUCAACCGCACACAAAAGGAUGUACAAAGUAUUUUGUACAGCAACUUUAUAAAGUAGCAGCUUAGUAUUUUGCGGCAGAUAAGUAUGGCACGUCGACAAACGUCCAGCAGUUAUAUUGGCCUUUCUCAAUGAUGCUCUGGCGUGUUCAUUAAAUUUAAAUAAUUUAUUUAUAUGUAUUCCCAAAUAUUUGAAGUAAUCUCGGAAUGGAAUUUCUAUGCCAUCCAGUAAGAGACGCAGAGUCUUCGCUUCUGGAACAACGCUUCUAUGACAUUUCCCAGAUGCGUUUCUAAUACAUACUGCUUCCGAUUUAGCUGCGUUUACUGUGAUUCCCCAUGUUUUAUAAUAUUUACUUAUAUCGCCAAGGUGAAGAGCGGCUUGCUUUAAGGCUUCAGUGGGUAAAAGGAUUUGGUGAUUUUUUACUUCAAUUGUUUUGCAGUGCUGUUUGUGUAUGUUAUGAAAGGUGGUAAAAUGGAUUCCAAUGCAGAAUCAAACUGUCGACGAAACAUACUCCAAUCCGUGGACUUAUAAGAAACAACCACUCUGGGAGUUUUGAGGAUAAUACCACCUGUAUUGAACGAAAUAUCCAAUUUGAGAGGGUAAUGGUCAGAAAAUGAGGGAAUACUGGUUAUUUUGUAGUUGCCUGCAUCAGUAUCUAUCAGUUUUGGGCUGACCAAAAAAUGAUCCAAAUAAGAUGGACCAUUAGGGUAUGAAGGAGAAGAGUCACAUAUUCGGGUAACGUCUGUGGCAUUAUCAAGCAAACCAAUUGUAAAGUGUCCUUCCAUUGGUGUUGUCCAUUAUAUCACCCCAUGUGUGUCUAGAAUUAAGAUCCCCUCCAAAAAUAAAUCCAUCAUAAUUAUUAGUAAACUGCAGACAAUUAUUUAGACCAUUGAUUAAGUGUUGUGUGUUGAAAUUGGUUGAAAUAUAAAGUGAACCUAGUAAAAAUUUCUGCAUUGAAUUGUUAAUUUUUGUCUCAAUCUCAAUAAAGACUGCAUUAAAAUUUAUAUCCUCAACUGUAGUGCGCUUGUAAUAGAUGCCAUUUUUUAAAAGUACUGCCACGCCAAUAUUUGAGUUGUCAUAUAAAAAUGUGUAACCCUUCAUAUAAACUUUUUUAUUUCUUCGAAGAUGGCAUUCUUGGAUAAAUGCAAUAUCAAUUUUGUUUUUGGAGAGAUAUUUAUGUAGCUCGAUCUGACGACUGCGAUCCACAAGAGACCGGACAUUGAAGGUUAAACAUUUUAAGAACCUAUGGACCAUAAGUAUCCUUUUUUUAAAAGACGCAUGAAUUCGUCUUUAGCUUUACUCUUUGACAUAUUGUUGAAUUCUGCCAGAAAUAUGUUUAUUUCUUGCUCUAGGGUUAGUUCCUCUGGUUGCAAGAAAAUAGUUGACAAUUUUAAAAAUUCGUCAAUAAUUGAUGGUUUACUACUAUGG